rnacentral:rRNA from 1 species
GACAGAGGGUGCAAACGUUGUUCGGAAUUACUGGGCGUAAAGCGAGUGGAGGCGGUCUGACAAGUCAGGUGUGAAAGCCCCGGGCUCAACCCGGGAAGUGCACUUGAAACUGCCAGGCUAGAGUAUCGGAGAGGUUGGUGGAAUUCUCGGUGUAGAGGUGAAAUUCGUAGAUAUCGAGAGGAACACCGGUGGCGAAGGCGGCCAACUGGACGAAUACUGACGCUGAGACUCGAAAGCGUGGGGAGCAAACAGG